rnacentral:rRNA from 1 species
AUUGAACGCUGGCGGCAGGCCUAACACAUGCAAGUCGAGCGGAUGAAGGGAGCUUGCUCCUGGAUUCAGCGGCGGACGGGUGAGUAAUGCCUAGGAAUCUGCCUGGUAGUGGGGGAUAACGUCCGGAAACGGGCGCUAAUACCGCAUACGUCCUGAGGGAGAAAGUGGGGGAUCUUCGGACCUCACGCUAUCAGAUGAGCCUAGGUCGGAUUAGCUAGUUGGUGGGGUAAAGGCCUACCAAGGCGACGAUCCGUAACUGGUCUGAGAGGAUGAUCAGUCACACUGGAACUGAGACACGGUCCAGACUCCUACGGGAGGCAGCAGUAGGGAAUAUUGGACAAUGGGCGAAAGCCUGAUCCAGCCAUGCCGCGUGUGUGAAGAAGGUCUUCGGAUUGUAAAGCACUUUAAGUUGGGAGGAAGGGCAGUAAGUUAAUACCUUGCUGUUUUGACGUUACCAACAGAGUAAGCAACGGCUAACUUCGUG